UCACCAAACAAAAAUCUUAAGUUUGUUUCUUUUCGCAUAAGUUAAAAGAAAUAAACAUCUCUCUUUACCAUAAAAAAAAAAAACCCACAUCCCUUAACACUGGGACUGACCUAUAACUCGUUAGAAAAACAUAGAUUAUUUUGAUAUGCAUGUUUGUAUUGCAAAGAAUAAAACAAAUUAUAAAAACGACGAUACCGCAGUGGAAUGGAAAGAAAUGGACCUCUGCAGUGCAGUGAUCUGCCUUACCGUACAUACAUAUAGUACAUAGGGGAUUAACUUUUUUUUUGCUAUUUUAAGAGUUUAAGUAAGCUAAUGACAAAAACUUUCGCUCGAUAAGAAUUAGUUGACGCAGAUCUCGUAAGCGAAAAGGACUUAAACUUAACCGUCCAACAAAAAUAUUAAGUUAAAACCGUGGUUUUGUAGUGAAGCAAAAAAAAAAUUAAAGAAAAAAAGUUUACGCGCCUCUUACUUAACUUAAAUAAAAAGAAAAGCGAUUAGCCAAAAGUUACAUAAGCCGCUCCAUCGAGUUUCAUAAAAUUCUAACUAAUUAUAAAUUAUUAGAAGCUAAAACGUGUAUAAAUACAUAGUUAUACUAUUCUCCUAAUAUCUGUGGGAUAAUAUAAAUCAACCCUUAAAAAAAAAGGGGAAACAACUAAACCAAAUAACAAGACAAGUUGAAAAACUUUAAUAAAGAAAAAAAAAACAAUAAAUACAAAAAAGAGAGUCUCUUCGAAUCAUAAAAAAGGGUGAAAUUCCACUUAAGGUAAGAAUCUGAUUCUUUAUUUUUUUAUCUGGUUUUUUUUUUAUUCAUCUCGAUGUAUUCGCUCUGUUUAACGUUAUCAGAUAAUAGCGAGAGAAAGAGCGAGAGAUUCGGACACACAAAGCGUCGACGUCCAAGGCCACGCAGGUGGAGUCGGCUUACUUUAAGCUAAAUUCAAGGCUAACCUCAAUCACAAAAAAAUCUUCAAACGACAAGUACACACGAAACACACUUGAGAAAAAAACCACAGAGAAAUUAAAUCAACAACAAGUAGAGAAAAAAAGAUCAAUCUAGA